UUUAGGAAGCCGGAUAAUCCUCGGAAAGAAGAUACAUCAAUCACUGGUUCGCAGUUUCAAGUGAUGUGUUCCAAAGAAGAUAUGGGAGUGGAUGCUGACGCUACGACCUUGGCGGAAACAUCCAACGUCACGAUGACGGGUAGUUUUCUACACUGGUAUAGCGGACGAGGCCAUCAGACAGAUUUUUCAUAUUAUUUCCACGGAGACGUCGAGCAGGAAGGACGACGAGCAGCUAGUGAAGCUCAUCAAAGAGGAAAUCGUAAGGACAGCGCACAGC